UGUUGAAUUUUGAAUGCCUAUGGAUAUCUACUCAUCUGUUGAGACAGACUACAUGUUACGACAUUAGGUGACGUAACAGAAUUGUUGUGUUGUCACAGUAAUAAAUCUACGAAAAGCAGAAUAAAGAACACAACAAUUUAAUGUGGUUCGGAUACAAACGUACCCUACAUCCACGAGGACUUGCAAAACUAGUUCAGAUUUAUGUGUACAUUAAUAGGACUUAAUAAAACACUAAAGACUCCCUCUUUAUGUGAUACGCCGUUCUUGCACACGACUCGAACUUGUUGAUAAUCAAAGCAAUUCCUCCUCCGCACUCUUGGACUUCCUCCAAUGUUGAACUUCCUUCAAACAGCGGAUCGACCUCUCCCGAGAUAUUUUAAGCACUUCUCCCGAAACGCCGAUCUUCUUUAUGGCCUGGUAGAAGAAACCUGUUCUGUUGCCACACCUGCCGUGCAGACAGGGCUGCAGCACGGGCUGCACCCUUCAAAGCCUUUAUGCUGAGAUUUUUCUUAUUAAAGCUCCAUGGGACUCAUAUGAGGUUGAGGGCCUUAUAUAGGCACGAAAUCCACCAACCUAAACCUAACUUGAGCCCUAAGAAAUCGAUUAACUAGGUAAUAAAAUCCUAGUCAAUUUCUACUUCUAUUCUAGAUAAGUACAAAAGAUACCUAACUAGAAUAUAAUACAUAGAAAUAAAUCUAAGUCCUAAUAAAAAUAUUACAAGAAUAGGACUCUAAUUAAUUCCAAAAUAAACAUGGAAAACAAAUCUUUGCCAAUCUUUAAUUUCCACGUAUGGCGGAUUUCUUCAAUCUUCACAAACGGAAAUUUGGUGCCAACAAUCUCCCCCUUUGGCAUAGAUUGGUUAGAAUCCAUGUUUAACAAGAACUCCCCCUGCAGAUGAGAUUUACUCCCCCUGCAACAAAGAUAUCACUUUUCUUCACCCGUCUUGGUCUUCUAUCAGAGUGUCCCAUCACGGGGCACGUUACAACCCUGCGGAAUUGGGUGAAUGCCGUGACAGACUUCCGUCUCAACCUUCCUUGUGAACACACGUCAUCCAAUAAGCAAAGCAAACAAAUCAAAACCCAAAAUCGGACACUAAGUAUAUCUAGUGACCCGCUCUGAUGCCAAUUGUUGAAUUUUGAAUGCCUAUGGAUAUCUACUCAUCUGUUGAGACAGACUACAUGUUACGACAUUAGGUGACGUAACAGAAUUGUUGUGUUGUCACAGUAAUAAAUCUACGAAAAGCAGAAUAAAGAACACAACAAUUUAAUGUGGUUCGGAUACAAACGUACCCUACAUCCACGAGGACUUGCAAAACUAGUUCAGAUUUAUGUGUACAUUAAUAGGACUUAAUAAAACACUAAAGACUCCCUCUUUAUGUGAUACGCCGUUCUUGCACACGACUCGAACUUGUUGACAAUCAAAGCAAUUCCUCCUCCGCACUCUUGGACUUCCUCCAAUGUUGAACUUCCUUCAAACGGCGGAUCGACC
rnacentral:lncRNA from 1 species